GUCUACAGUUAUUCCACCCUGAAUGUGCCAGAUCUGUUCUGAUCUUGGAAGCUAAGUAGGGUCAGACCUGGUUAGUACAUCGUUGGGAGUCUAUUUUUUUGUCAGUUAUAUACACC
rnacentral:rRNA from 1 species